rnacentral:sRNA from 1 species
GGAUUUGAGGGCGAUCUGGCAGUGACAUCUGUCACCCCAUUGAUCGCCAGGGUUGAUUUGGCUGAUCUGGCUAGCAAGGCGGGUGUCCCCUUCCUCCCUCACCACUCCAUGUGCGUCCCUCCGAAGCUGCGCGCUCGGUCAAAAAGGACAACCUUCCCUGAUAGAGGAGGACCGUUCUUCGGUCAAGGGUAUAUGAGUGGCUGCGCUCUCCUGCUAGCACCUCCAAACAAGAGUCAAGUUUACCACCUGCCAUUUGUACCUGAACAUGUUAUUAUUAUAUUUGGU